CAAGCUCCAGACCCGGCCGUGAACGCCGUUU
rnacentral:sRNA from 1 species